GACGAACGCUGGCAGCGUGCCUAAUACAUGCAAGUAGAACGCUGAAGAGAGGAGCUUGCUCUUCUUGGAUGAGUUGCGAACGGGUGAGUAACGCGUAGGUAACCUGCCUUGUAGCGGGGGAUAACUAUUGGAAACGAUAGCUAAUACCGCAUAACAAUGGAUGACACAUGUCAUUUAUUUGAAAGGGGCAAUUGCUCCACUACAAGAUGGACCUGCGUUGUAUUAGCUAGUAGGUGAGGUAACGGCUCACCUAGGCGACGAUACAUAGCCGACCUGAGAGGGUGAUCGGCCACACUGGGACUGAGACACGGCCCAGACUCCUACGGGAGGCAGCAGUAGGGAAUCUUCGGCAAUGGGGGCAACCCUGACCGAGCAACGCCGCGUGAGUGAAGAAGGUUUUCGGAUCGUAAAGCUCUGUUGUAAGUCAAGAACGAGUGUGAGAGUGGAAAGUUCACACUGUGACGGUAGCUUACCAGAAAGGGACGGCUAACUACGUGCCGGCAGCCGCGGUAAUACGUAGGUCCCGAGCGUUAUCCGGAUUUAUUGGGCGUAAAGCGAGCGCAGGCGGUUAGAUAAGUCUGAAGUUAAAGGCUGUGGCUUAACCAUAGUACGCUUUGGAAACUGUUUAACUUGAGUGCAGAAGGGGAGAGUGGAAUUCCAUGUGUAGCGGUGAAAUGCGUAGAUAUAUGGAGGAACACCGGUGGCGAAAGCGGCUCUCUGGUCUGUAACUGACGCUGAGGCUCGAAAGCGUGGGGAGCAAACAGG
rnacentral:rRNA from 1 species